rnacentral:rRNA from 1 species
CCGGAGUGGACGCAUCACUGGUGUUCGGGUUGUCAUGCCAAUGGCAUUGCCCGGUAGCUAAAUGCGGAAGAGAUAAGUGCUGAAAGCAUCUAAGCACGAAACUUGCCCCGAGAUGAGUUCUCCCUGAGACUAUAAGUCUCCUGAAGGAACGUUAAAGACGAUGACGUUGAUAGGUCGGGUGUGUAAGUGUAGCGAUACAUUGAGCUAACCGAUACUAAUGAACCGUGAGGCUUAACCUUACAACGCCGAAG